AAAUGAAAUGAGGAAAGUGAACUUAAGUGUUGAAUGAUGCAAAAUAAGUCUUAAAAGUUAUUUUGAUUUUGCAAAUUGCUUCCCUGAAGUUCAUUACAGCUCUUUUGCACAGAUAACCCUCAAACCAAAGUUGUUGCCCACCAGUGACUUUUUAUAACCCAGGCAUACCCAGCAAGUGACCAGACAAUCAACGACAGAUGAAGCAUUCUGGUUAGCGGGGUGCCAGUAACCGUAAGUAUGAAUGUGAAGUUAAAGCAAAUUAACUUGUGCAAUUAAAGUUUGUUCUUUAGUA